rnacentral:misc_RNA from 1 species
CGGUAGUCAGAUUCUUUGUGUGAUGCUUUCGUGGAGUGGCAGAGAGUCACUAGUGCGGUGCUUGGCUGUAGCGGUGCGCUGCUUCGCCGCGACAGCAUCGCCGUUCCUCUGUUACUCCUCCUCACAGAGAAACCGCCGUAUGCCUAGCGAUCAGCAUCGAGACAGUCUGCUAUCUCACACGGCAUCAACGGCUGCACCUGCACCAGCAGCGGUGCCGACGCAGCGAACGCGUCGUGGCGUUUUGAAACGGGCAUCGCUGCUCGAGCAGCUCCGUGACCGUAAUGAUGGUGAGAGCGGCACUGUAGAGUUGAGCAAGGCGCCAGGUAGCAGUGCCCUCGUAGCGUCUGGAGCAGCAGCGCCGCUAGCGGCCCCUGUGUCGAUUCCGUAUAUUAGCUCGUCCGAAUUCGUUAGUGUACCCCGCCCAAAGCAGCAGCAAGUGUGGUCGUCACAUGGAACGCACAGCGCCGCAGCAGCAGCGCCUCUGUCCUCGCCCACUGCCUCUGCACAGCUGGAGCGGCAGCAGCAAGCCCUACGCGACGCCUUCACACACGCGCGACAGUACCACAAUGUGCGUCUUUCCAAAGACCCCGGCGUCUACCGCGCAGAGUGCCGGGCUUUCCGCCAGGCCCACCGAGGUCGAUCGCCGACGCAGCAAGAGGUGAGUCGCACCGUCGCCGUUCCGUUGGCGCCGGUCGCCGCGCUCAAGACGCUAGCUCACACGGAUGCCACGCGGUCUUCGCUGCACGCCGCGGCCGAGGCCGCCGUGAUGCUGCACAACGCCGUGGUGAAAAAUGAGCUCGUGAAGAGCAGCACGCCGCAGCUUGUCCGCUGCCUUCGCUGCUUUCACGUGUACAUGGCCCGCCCGCGAACGUUGUGGGGAGGCGAGGUGGAGCAGAGCGGCAUCGAGUACGAAAAGGCACAGAAGGCGCAACGACUUCAGAGGCCUGCGCCUGGUAAGCGUGCGAGGAGCGUGGGCCGGCGUCGACGCGCACAUGAAGAGAACCCGAUCUGCUGUCCGAAGUGCCGCAGCCCUCGCGCGCAGUGGAUGAUGGAGUACGUGCACCGCCACACUCACGAGCGAGUGUGAGAACGGCGUACCGCUUUGUCAGUCGCCGCUGCGCGUGGGGGUGUGGGCCUCGUGCACCGUCGUCGCUCUGUAUCCCACGCCUCCACGCACUGUGUACUGGAGCAGUGCAUGCUGCCCAGCCCGUCGCUGUGGCAGCGGAGGGUGGGCCACAGUCGCCCGUCCCCCUCGCCCCCUUUCACAACCCCAUCUCUCACAAACAUCAUAGGGCACAAGGUGACGGAAGCGACCGCAGAACAGUGGGCCGCGACUCGUGUCUGCAAGGAAGCAGCGCCCAUUGUACUCCCUGUGGCGCACGCACGGCGCGCAGCCCUUUCCUCUGGUCUGUAGUCACACCACCACCACCAAUGGGGUAUCCGCGAGACGGCGCCAUUGGAUGCUCGCCACCCGAUUGCUCCGCAGCCUUCCAACUAUCAUCGCCAGAUGUACGUCCCUCGCCCCUGCACCACUCUCCAGCCCCUCUCCUCGUCCUCCAUCACCUUCCGGGCAG